ACGUACACUCCUACGGGAGGCAGCAGUGGGGAAUAUUGGACAAUGGGCGCAAGCCUGAUCCAGCCAUGCCGCGUGAGUGAUGAAGGCCCUAGGGUUGUAAAGCUCUUUCACCGGUGAAGAUAAUGACGGUAACCGGAGAAGAAGCCCCGGCUAACUUCGUGCCAGCAGCCGCGGUAAUACGAAGGGGGCUAGCGUUGUUCGGAUUUACUGGGCGUAAAGCGCACGUAGGCGGACUAUUAAGUCAGGGGUGAAAUCCCGGGGCUCAACCCCGGAACUGCCUUUGAUACUGGUAGUCUUGAGUUCGAGAGAGGUGAGUGGAAUUCCGAGUGUAGAGGUGAAAUUCGUAGAUAUUCGGAGGAACACCAGUGGCGAAGGCGGCUCACUGGCUCGAUACUGACGCUGAGGUGCGAAAGCGUGGGGAGCAAACAGGAUUAGAUACCCAGUAGUCCCAU
rnacentral:rRNA from 1 species